rnacentral:rRNA from 1 species
UUUCUGACGGCGAAUCAGGUGGGACUACC